rnacentral:piRNA from 1 species
UGCUAGCAAUCUCUUGGUUCCCUGCCAG